rnacentral:rRNA from 1 species
UACACUCCUACGGGAGGCAGCAGUGGGGAAUAUUGGACAAUGGGCGCAAGCCUGAUCCAGCCAUGCCGCGUGAGUGAUGAAGGCCCUAGGGUUGUAAAGCUCUUUCACCGGUGAAGAUAAUGACGGUAACCGGAGAAGAAGCCCCGGCUAACUUCGUGCCAGCAGCCGCGGUAAUACGAAGGGGGCUAGCGUUGUUCGGAUUCACUGGGCGUAAAGCGCACGUAGGCGGACUAUUAAGUCAGGGGUGAAAUCCCGGGGCUCAACCCCGGAACUGCCUUUGAUACUGGUAGUCUUGAGUUCGAGAGAGGUGAGUGGAAUUCCGAGUGUAGAGGUGAAAUUCGUAGAUAUUCGGAGGAACACCAGUGGCGAAGGCGGCUCACUGGCUCGAUACUGACGCUGAGGUGCGAAAGCGUGGGGAGCAAACAGGAUUAGAAACCCCUGUAGUCCC